rnacentral:rRNA from 1 species
ACGAACGCUGGCGGCGUGCUUAACACAUGCAAGUCGUACGAGACGAUUGAAAGCUUGCUCUUUUGGAUGAGUUGCGAACGGGUGAGUAACGCGUAGGUAACCUGCCUUGUAGCGGGGGAUAACUAUUGGAAACGAUAGCUAAUACCGCAUAACAGCUUUUGACACAUGUUAGAAGCUUGAAAGAUGCAAUUGCAUCACUACGAGAUGGACCUGCGUUGUAUUAGCUAGUAGGUAGGGUAACGGCCUACCUAGGCGACGAUACAUAGCCGACCUGAGAGGGUGAUCGGCCACACUGGGACUGAGACACGGCCCAGACUCCUACGGGAGGCAGCAGUAGGGAAUCUUCGGCAAUGGGGGCAACCCUGACCGAGCAACGCCGCGUGAGUGAAGAAGGUUUUCGGAUCGUAAAGCUCUGUUGUAAGAGAAGAACGUGUGUGAGAGUGGAAAGUUCACACAGUGACGGUAACUUACCAGAAAGGGACGGCUAACUACGUG